rnacentral:rRNA from 1 species
AGUUGCUAAGACUGGAUAGGAAAAGUAAAGGCAUCUUUACUUUUUUAAAAGACCUUCUUUGAAGGUAUGCUUAAGGAGGGGCUUGCGACACAUUAGUUAGUUGGCAGGGUAAAGGCCUACCAAGACUAUGAUGUGUAGCUGGACUGAGAGGUUGAACAGCCACAUUGGGACUGAGACACGGCCCAAACUCCUACGGGAGGCAGCAGUAGGGAAUUUUCGGCAAUGGAGGAAACUCUGACCGAGCAACGCCGCGUGAACGAUGAAGUACCUCGGUAUGUAAAGUUCUUUUAUUAAGGAAGAAAAAAGAGUGGAAAAACUCCCUUGACGGUACUUAAUGAAUAAGCCCCGGCUAAUUAUGUGCCAGCAGCCGCGGUAAUACAUAAAGGGCGAGCGUUAUCCGGAAUUAUUGGGCGUAAAGGGUGCGUAGGCGGUUUAAUAAGUCUAUAGUUUAAUUUCAGCGCUUAACGCUGUUGUGCUAUAGAAACUGUUUUACUAGAGUGAGUUAGAGGCAAGCGGAAUUCCAUGUGUAGCGGUAAAAUGCGUAAAUAUAUGGAGGAACACCAGAGGCGUAGGCGGCUUGCUGGGACUUUACUGACGCUGAGGCACGAAAGCGUGGGGAGCAAACAGGAUUAGAUACCCUGGUAGUCCACGCCGUAAACGAUGAGUACUAAGUGUCGGGUAAAACCGGUACUGAAGUUAACACAUUAAGUACUCCGCCUGAGUAGUACGUACGCAAGUAUGAAACUUAAAGGAAUUGACGGGACUCCGCACAAGCGGUGGAUCAUGUUGUUUAAUUCGAAGAUACACGAAAAACCUUACCAGGUCUUGACAUUUUCUUGCGAAGUUAUAGAAAUAUAAUGGAGGUUAUCAGGAAAACAGGUGGUGCAUGGUUGUCGUCAGCUCGUGUCGUGAGAUGUUAGGUUAAGUCCUAAAACGAGCGCAACCCUUGUCGUUAAUUGCCAGCAUGUAAUGAUGGGGACUUUAACGAGACUGCCAAUGAAAAAUUGGAGGAAGGUGGGGAUUACGUCAAAUCAUCAUGCCCCUUAUGAUCUGGGCUACAAACGUGAUACAAUGGUUGAUACAAAGAGUAGCUGAAACGCGAGUUCUUAGCCAAUCUCACAAAAUCAAUCUCAGUUCGGAUUGAAGUCUGCAACUCGACUUCAUGAAGUUGGAAUCGCUAGUAAUCGCGAAUCAGCAUGUCGCGGUGAAUACGUUCUCGGGGUUUGUACACACCGCCCGUCAAACCACGAAAGUUGGCAAUACCCCAAAGUGGUCACCUAACUUCGCAAGAAGAAGGAUCCGUCUAAGGUAGGGUCGAU